rnacentral:rRNA from 1 species
UACGUAGGCAGCAAGCGUUGUUCGGAAUCAUUGGGCGUAAAGAGCUCGUAGGUGGUCUGUUACGUCUGCUGUGAAAUCCUAGGGCUUAACCCUGGGCCUGCAGUGGAUACGGGCAGACUAGAGGUAGGUAGGGGAGAAUGGAAUUCCCGGUGUAGCGGUGAAAUGCGCAGAUAUCGGGAGGAACACCGAUGGCGAAGGCAGAUCUCUGGGCCGUAACUGACGCUGAGGAGCGAAAGCAUGGGGAGCGAACAGG